GUGAGCCUACGGGGGGCAGCAGUGGGGAAUCUUGCACAAUGGGCGAAAGCCUGAUGCAGCGACGCCGCGUGGGCGAAGAAGGCCUUUGGGCCGUAAAGCCCUGUCGGGAGGGAAGAAGGAAGCGACGGUACCUCCCAAGGAAGCCCCGGCUAACUACGUGCCAGCAGCCGCGGUAACACGUAGGGGGCGAGCGUUAUCCGGAAUCAUUGGGCGUAAAGAGUACGUAGGUGGCAACCUAAGCGCAGGGUUUAAGGCAAUGGCUCAACCAUUGUUCGCCCUGCGAACUGGGAUGCUUGAGUGCAGGG
rnacentral:rRNA from 1 species